UCGGAGACAAAGUAGCGCAGGAGGUCUGGGCUGAUCACGAACAGAGCCGAGGUCGUCAGGGAAGAGUCCGGCGAGGUGGCGGUAGCUAGUGUGACGAUUGGGACUAGCUGCAGCUGCUGCAGCGGCGUCGUGCUGCAGACGGAAUGUGGCGGAAGAGUUCAGGCUGCUGCAAGUCGCGGCCAAAAACCGGCGAAGUGUUGCUGUGGGCGUCGCUUGGCACAAGGGGACUCGAGAUCCGCAAAGGCGUCGCAGAACAGAAGCUUCGUUGCGGCCGAGGGCGAAGCGACGCGCGUGGCGAAGUGGACGGCGGUAGUCGCGCGGUGAGGCGGAGCGGCAACAGCAGCUCGACGGCGCGGAGGAAGCGGGCAGCAGGGACGUCGGACGGGAAUUCACGAGGAAGAUGAACAGUUGUUCAUCCUUUUGCUUUUUCCUCUUUUUUUUUUUUUUUUAACUUUUUCUCUCACCUGACACUCUCUCUCACCUCUCCCUCACGUCA
rnacentral:lncRNA from 1 species